rnacentral:rRNA from 1 species
CUGGCUCGGAACGAACGCUGGCAGCGUGGAUUAGGCAUGCAAGUCGAACGGGAUCCGGUAGGCAGCAAUGUCGGCCGGUGAGAGUGGCGGAAGGGCGAGGAACACGUGGGCAACCUGUCUUGAGGUGGGGAAAACCGCUGGAAACGGCGGCUAAUACCGAAUGUAGCGCCCGCUCGCAUGAGCGGAGCGCCAAAGGGGGCGAAAGCUCCCCCUCUUCGAGGGCCCGCGCACCAUCAGCUUGUUGGCGGGUAACGGCCCACCAAGGCUCACGGUUAGCUGGUCUGAGAGGAUGGCCAGCCGCACUGGGACUGAGAUACUGCCCAGACUCCUACGGGAGGCUGCAGUCGAGGAUCAUUUGCAAUGGGCGAAAGCCUGACAAUGCGACGCUGCGUGGAGGAAUGAAGGCCCUCGGGUUGUAAACUCCUGUCAUGGGGGAAAAGGAAACCCUGCCCAAUACGCAGGGAAUUUGAUGGUACCCCAAGAGGAAGCGACGGCUAACUCUGUGCCAGCAGCAGC